UAUAAGAGACAGCAGCCGCCGCGGGAAUACAGAGGGUGCGAGCGUUAAUCGGAUUUACUGGGCGUAAAGCGUGCGUAGGCGGCUUUUUAAGUCGGAUGUGAAAUCCCUGAGCUUAACUUAGGAAUUGCAUUCGAUACUGGGAAGCUAGAGUAUGGGAGAGGAUGGUAGAAUUCCAGGUGUAGCGGUGAAAUGCGUAGAGAUCUGGAGGAAUACCGAUGGCGAAGGCAGCCAUCUGGCCUAAUACUGACGCUGAGGUACGAAAGCAUGGGGAGCAAACAGGAUUAGAUACCCCGCGUAGUCCCUGUCUCUUAUA
rnacentral:rRNA from 1 species